CGGAGCCGGCUGGUGCCGGAGGUCAGACUAGAUGGCCCAGGAGACCCCUUCUGACUCGCUCUGUUUCUGUGUUUCUAAACUGGGGUCUUUGCUCCAGAGGUGUGUUUUUUCCUGACUCGGCUGUUAUCCUAAUGCAAUGCAUGCAAAAUGGGACUGCAAAAAUUGAUCUGAGUAUCCACACAUUCAGUGUAGUAGCUAUUUUAACAUGGAUUUGCGGAUUCCAAAUGAUCACAUUUCAAUCAUGGAGGAGAGAAGUGCCUGUUGGAACCUACCAAGAAUCCAGUAGGAAGAUCAUUCAGUGUGCUCAUAUGCAUUCUAGCAAGAAAAACCACCAAGUUAAAAAGAUGGCCCUGCUGCACCAUAUUUUCUAAUUAGCACUGCUGGGAGCCCACGGUCUGGAAGCACUCCAAGUCUUUGGCACGUCUGCAAACCAAGCGACACAAACUUUGCGUAGCCUGAGCUGUCGCUUCGAAAUCAGAGGUUGCGAUGUGGUGAGAAUUUCUUCUACGAAUCAAGAUAGAAAACAGAAAUCUGACACAUUUAUCAGAGGCCUUGAAUUCUGCACACUAAGGGAUAACAGCGAGGGCAGAGCACGCAAACCCUGCGGAAUUUGCAGAUUGUUUAAAGCAUUGUUUAAAAGCUAGUAGGAAGAGUCCAAAUGUGGCCAAUAUUCAUUUGCAAAUAAGUUUGGAACUGAGGUGAAAACGAAAAGUGCUUUUCUUUGAUCAGAAGCCAAAAUCAGUUGGUGUUUCAUUCUUCACAUGACCUCCAGUGGCAACUAAAUCCGCUUUAGGCAACCCAGCAGGAAAUGUGGACACAAGUUGCUUCUUCUUUUCUGCCUGUUUUCCCUUUUUUGCUAAAAGGCUAUAAAUACGUGACGUCUGUGCUUCCA